rnacentral:rRNA from 1 species
CCUACGGGAGGCAGCAGUGGGGAAUAUUGGGCAAUGGGCGCAAGCCUGACCCAGCAACGCCGCGUGAAGGAAGAAGGCUUUCGGGUUGUAAACUUCUUUUCUGAGGGACGAAAAAAGUGACGGUACCGCAGGAAUAAGCCACGGCUAAAUACGUGCCAGCAGCCGCGGUAAAACGUAGGGGGCAAGCGUUAUCCGGAUUUAUUGGGUGUAAAGGGGGUGUAGGCGGGAAAGAAAGUCAGAUGGGAAAACUCAGGGCUCAACCCUGAGCGUGGAUUUGAAACUGUUUUUCUUGAGUGCUGGAGAGGCAAUCGGAAUUCCGUGUGUAGCGGUGAAAUGCGUAGAUAUACGGAGGAACACCAGUGGCGAAGGCGGAUUGCUGGACAGUAACUGACGCUGAGGCGCGAAAGCGUGGGGAGCAAACAGGAUUAGAUACCCCUGUAGUC